rnacentral:rRNA from 1 species
GCAAGUCGAACGAAGUAGCAAUACUUAGUGGCAGACGGGUGAGUAACAUGUAGGUAUCUGCCCUUUGGCCUGGAAUAACACGAGGAAACUUGUGCUAAUACCGGAUAAGUCUUUACGGAGAAAGCUUUAUGCACCAUUGGAUGAGCCUGCACUUGAUUAGUUUGUUGGUAGGGUAAUGGCCUACCAAGACUGUGAUCAAUAGCUGAUUUGAGAGGAUGAUCAGCCACAUUGGGACUGAGACACGGCCCAAACUCCUACGGGAGGCAGCAGUGGGGAAUCUUGCACAAUGGAGGAAACUCUGAUGCAGCGAUGCCGCGUGAGUGAAGAAGGCCCUUGGGUUGUAAAGCUCUUUCGUCGGGGAAGAAAAUGACCGUACCCGAAUAAGAAGGUCCGGCUAACUUCGUGCCAGCAGCCGCGGUAAUACGAAGGGACCUAGCGUAGUUCGGAAUUACUGGGCUUAAAGAGUUCGUAGGUGGUUGAAAAAGUUGGUGGUGAAAUCCCAGAGCUUAACUCUGGAACUGCCAUCAAAACUUUUCAGCUAGAGUUUGAUAGAGGAAAGCAGAAUUUCUAGUGUAGAGGUGAAAUUCGUAGAUAUUAGAAAGAAUACCAAUUGCGAAGGCAGCUUUCUGGAUCAUUACUGACACUGAGGAACGAAAGCAUGGGUAGCGAAGAGGAUUAGAUACCCUCGUAGUCCAUGCCGUAAACGAUGUGUGUUAGACGUUGGAAAUUUAUUUUCAGUGUCGCAGCGAAAGCGAUAAACACACCGCCUGGGGAGUACGACCGCAAGGUUAAAACUUCAAUGAAUUGACGGG